CUCCGUGUGAGCUGGAGCUGCCUAGUCCAGAGGGGGGCUGAGGUGAGGCGAGGGCAGGAGCCUGAGCUGGGCCAGGGAGUGAGCCGCGCUGGCCGGAGGAGCUGCCCAGAGAGCUGAGCUGCAGGCAGAGCAGCAGCGCGUUGGCAGAGUGGAGCUGGGGCUGGAGCCGGCGCCGGCGCCAUCUGGAGCCAGCCCUCCAAGAAAGGAGUGUUGGAAAAAAACUGAAGAAAAUCUCAAAGAGAGAUUCUACUAACAUCAAACUCUUACCCCUUGUAUGAGUUGCUAGUAGCAUUGAGGAGAGUGCCUAAUUAGAGAUGUCCUCCUGCUUCCUCCAUAUCUGCCGCCUGACCCCCUGGACUUGGUCCCAAUCCUCCUUCAGUUGUGGUUGACUAUUGUUUGUUGAAAACCAUCUACAAGCACUAUUUUCUGGACUGCAUAACUGUAUUGUGCCUCUGUUAAGCAAUAUGCGGUGCUACAUGGCCUGGGAAACACAGUGGCCACAACAAUACAUGCCAUGGCACCCAGAUACCACACUGAUGGGCAUAAUAUAGCAAUGUGACUGGAACAGAACUUUAUGCAAAGAUCAAUACUGUUUUUAAAAAAUCAGCAUAUAAAGAAUGAAGGCCUGAUUGUCCAAUCCAUUUUACACCAGUGUAACUCUACUUCUUUUGUAUGGCAUCUAUGAAAAUAAAGGAGGAUAAGCUCCUUGUAUAAUCCAGUCCUGAUCCUCUCGGAUAAAUCAGUGUCAUUCCCUUGCUCUUGCUUCUCUGAUGAAUGACUGUCCCCAGGACACUCUGUAUAGCCCAUUUCAAAGCUUUCACACUGCAGUGUUCGAGCUCUUCAAGCUUACCUUAGGCCCCGGGGACCUCUCAGAACAUAAGGAUUUCAAGUACCGUGAGGUUUUCAUGCUUCUCCUCAUCUUCAGCAACCUUUCAGAAGUGAAAGCCAUGACCGCACUGGAUCUGGAAAUAAGUUUGCCAGUGUUCUGGAGAAAAUGGCUCCAAAGAAAAAAAAAUUGGCCCAGUACACUAAUUGGAUAUACCUGAUAAAAAGGAAGGUGAGAGAACUUGCUUACAGUGGGUACAGUGAGACCUCUAGAAACCAAAGUGACUUUACAUGUUUAAUAAAACCUUGAUUAAAUUAUUUCAUUAUGCCUACAUGUGAUGGGCCCAAGGUCUGCGGCUCCCUGACGCAGCUUAUAAGACAUGCACACCUGAAGGCAACUCAGGGCUUUAAGGGUCAAUGGGCCCUGCAAAGAUAGUGGAAGUAAAGAUAAUCCCUCCAUCAAAGAUACCAGAGGAGGGCAGUAGGCCACAGCACCAGCGCUGGUGCUGUGGCCUGCUGCCCCCUGUGACAACAGAUAGCGUUGGAAGGGGGUUGCGUUUAACAGAGGCUCACAUUAAUGGUGAAAUUCUCCAUAGUUUCAGAUAUGCAUUGCAAGUCUGCACCUUCUGAGGCACCCCCCUCACUAGAUUUAUAUGGAACUUGGCCAGGCUGAACCCAGCUUUUAUAUGAAUACAAAUAAACCUCAUAUUUGUAAGCUUCCUCUUUAUAUGUUUGUUUAAAAUGAAGAGUGUGAAUGAAGUGAACAAAACCAACUGGAGUAACACACUGAUAAACACAAAUGAAGAGCCUGUCCCCCUUGCAAAGGAAAAGAAAAGAGGUGGCUGAGGCCAUUUUUAACUGUAGGGUAACUUUUUACUGCCUUAAACCUCAGUAAUCAUUCCAGUGGACUUACAAGCAGAGUAGAGUAACACUAGCUACCAAGUGAACAAUAUCCAAGACAAGCCUGAUGUUAAACAGAGGAGCACUGUGGUUUAUAAUUACACGGGGGCCAAAUCCUGACAUCUUUGUUCACGCAAAACUCCCAGUGACUUCAAAAGGAAUUUUGACUGAACUUCAGGACUGGGCCUAUAGUAGUUAACAUAAUAUUAAAAGACAGUGAAAGUUAUUUCUGCCUGGUAAAGCAUGUGUGUUCUGAUGAGAUGUGAAAACUGCAAGUUCUAAGUCACUUUGGGUAGUUCUUCUCUUAUGAUGAUAGUAGUUAGUUACACUGGGUGACAACCUGACCCCAUUAAAAUCUAUUGCAAAUUCCCAUUGGCUUAAAUGGAGACAGGAUUUCACCCAUGGUAUGGGUUCUGUAGUUGUUACAGAACUGUGAAGUUACAAGCACAGUAUAUGGCUGUUUUUGCCACAUUAAGUAAAGUGCUGCCAAUGAGAAUAAUUUCAGUGUUUGUGGUGGUUAUUUGUUGAAGAUACAUGCAAAAAUUAAAAGAAAACUAUAAGUUAAUUUGCAAAUUUAGGUGGUUCUUGGAUAGCAUUUUGUUCUCCUGAUCUUGUAAUUAUUUGUACCUUUUUUUGGUCAAUUUCACUGAAAACAAACCCAAACCUUUGACUGCAACUGACUCCUUCCUCCAAAUUUAACAGAGAAAAUUGGCUUGUUCUUCUCAUACUAGCAGCUUUGCCUUCACAACAUUUCUUUUCCAGGUUCAAGGAGAGAUGUGGUGGGAAAAAGGGAACCUGAAGAAAGCAACACAUCAGUAGAUUAAUCUGAUGUCUGAAGAGAUGUUGGUUUCUUCAGUUCUUGUUGUAUGUAUAUACUCUUGUACUGCAAGUCAGAUUCCUUCUGCUUUUGCUUUGAACUGUAAAGUGGAAAGUUGCAAGUAAAUAUACUAUUUACUUCUCAAAGUAGAUAUAGAUAUUUAUACUCUUCUCUUGCAAAUUGUAUUAUGUCAGCACAGAUAAAUAGGAACCUGACUAACUGUUGUGCAAACCAUAUCCUCCUAUAUUUUAUAUCUAUAUUAGUGUAAUGCACGUUAAUUUUUGGUGAGUGAUUGUUUCUCAGGGGAGUUGAUGAUAGAUUCCAUCCAAUAAUCAAAACACAAUGAAUGCCGUAAUUUUGGACAUUAUAACAAUUAAGAUAAAAUCUAUUUAUCAGUAAAACCAUAUUUCUAUAUCAGUGCUACAGACCAUGUGAUGACUGAAAACUUAUAUCGAGCAACCUGAGUAGCUGUGUUAGUAGCUGUGACAGUCUCUCUCCCAGGCAAGCCCCACAGGAGAAGGAUGCUAUGGGGCAUUUCACCAAGCAGUUGAGCCUCCAAAAGAUCAAUUAGGAUUAGAGAUGGGGAGCAAGCAGUGAAAUCCUACAGAGAGUUUUCUGUGGGUUGUUUGGGGCCAGCUAGGAAGCCUCAGUGUCUAGGUUGUUUGUAGUUUUUCCACUGGGAGGUGAGGAAGUUUUUCUUCUUGUGGGCAAAAAUACUCAGUUUAUUUCCUGCUUUUAACCAGCAUGUG